rnacentral:lncRNA from 1 species
CUUCUUGCUCUUGACCGGUGACUCAAGAGCCGAAAUAGCCCCAUGAGCUGACUUAAGGUCAACCUUCGAGGAUGCCAAGUCAUCAGUUAGCCAAAAAAUCUCCUCCUGAAGUUUGGCUUUCCGCUCUGUCGCUAAGUUGUUCAAGUGCAGCUGCUUUCUCGGCAUCGACGAUUGCCACCUUACUCUUCCACGCACUACGGAUGUCGGCGAACUUCGUGUAGCUGGCCUCCAGGUCAGACAUGUCAUGGAUCAACUACAGACAGAGGAUAAGUCUGUUUAAAAAAAGAAAGAAAAAAAGAAAGUUUACCUAAGAGACUUAUCUCGAUGAUUGUCGGAUAAAAGAAUGAAAACAUCUCGACCAUCGAUCGUUUCCUCCGACGCUCCCGAUCAGCCGGAAGAAGAGUCACCUGGCACAGUUGCUUGGCCAGUACAGAAUUAAUUAGGGCCGAUUCAUCGACGGACACUUGGAGGUCGAAGUGCACCGCAUGGCCCUCCGAUGCUGCAUCAUCCGCCGACGCCACCAGAGCUUUCCUCUGGUCUGUUGUCGGUGGCCCCAUGUUUGAAAGCGAGGGGAAGCUUGAACUUGACUGUGCCCUAACUGAAGGAGCAACUGGCG